rnacentral:rRNA from 1 species
AUUGAACGCUGGCGGCAGGCCUAACACAUGCAAGUCGAACGAGUGGCGGACGGGUGAGUAAUGCUUGGGAAUCUAGCUGAUGGAGGGGGAUAACUACGGGAAACUGUAGCUAAUACCGCGUACUAUCGGAUGAGCCCAAGUGGGAUUAGGUAGGGGGUGGGGUAAAGGCUCACCAAGCCGACGAUCUCUAGCUGGUCUGAGAGGGUGACCACCCACACUGGGAAUGGGACACGGCCCAGACUCCUACGGGAGGCUGACGUGGGGAAUAUUGCGAAAUGGGGGCAACCUGACUGAGCCAUGCCGCGUGAAUUAAGAAGGCCUUCGGGUUGUAAAAUUCUUUCGGUAGCGAAGCGUUAACUACAGAAGAAGCACCGGCUAACUCCGUGCCAGCAGCCGCGGUAAUUC